AUUGAACGCUGGCGGCAGGCCUAACACAUGCAAGUCGAGCGAGCGGCGGACGGGUGAGUAAUGUAUGGGGACUGCCUGAUAGAGGGGGAUAACUACUGGAAACGGUAGCUAAUACCACAUACUAUCGGAUAGACCAGAUGGGAUUAGCUAGUAGGUGAGGUAAUGGCUCACCUAGGCGACGAUCCCUAGCUGGUCUGAGAGGAUGAUCAGCCACACUGGAACUGAGACACGGCCCAGACUCCUACGGAGGCAGCAUUGGGGAAUAUUGCACAAUGGGCGCAAGCCUGAUGCAGCCAGGCCGCGUGUAUGAAGAAGGCCUGCGGGUUGUAAAGUACUUUUGGCAGAGAAGCGGUAUCUGCAGAAUAAGCACCGGCUAACUCCGUGCCAGCAGCCGCGGUAAUUC
rnacentral:rRNA from 1 species